rnacentral:rRNA from 1 species
AUGGUGGGUAAUACUGUAUAAUCCCUGCGGGGGAAAGAUUUAUCGCUACUAGAUGAGCCUAUGUCAGAUUAGCUAGUUGGUGGGGUAAUGGCCCACCAAGGCUGUGAUCUGUAGCUGGUCUGAGAGGAUGAUCAGCCACACUGGAACUGAGACACGGUCCAGACUCCUACGGGAGGCAGCAGUGGGGAAUAUUGGACAAUGGGCGCAAGCCUGAUCCAGCUAUGCCGCGUGAGUGAGGAAGGCCUUAGGGUUGUAAAACUCUUUCAGUAGGGAAGAUAAUGACGGUACCUACAGAAGAAGUCCCGGCAAACUCCGUGCCAGCAGCCGCGGUAAUACGGAGGGGGCAAGCGUUGUUCGGAAUUAUUGGGCGUAAAGGGCAUGUAGGCGGUUUGGUAAGUUAAAGGUGAAAUACCAGGGCUUAACCCUGGGGCUGCUUUUAAUACUGCAGGACUAGAGUCCGGAAGAGGAUAGCGGAAUUCCUAGAG